rnacentral:rRNA from 1 species
GUCUCGUGACUGCGUGCCUUUUGAAGAAUGAGCCUGCGAGUUUGCGGUGUGUUGCGAGGUUAACCCGGGUGGGGUAGCCGUAGCGAAAGCGAGUCCGAACAGGGCGUUUCAGUAGCACGCUCAAGACCCGAAGCGGAGUGAUCUAGCCAUGGGCAGGUUGAAGCGGAGGUAAGACUUCGUGGAGGACCGAACCCACCAGGGUUGAAAACCUGGGGGAUGACCUGUGGUUAGGGGUGAAAGGCCAAUCAAACUCCGUGAUAGCUGGUUCUCCCCGAAAUGCAUUUAGGUGCAGCGUCGUGUGUUUCUUGCCGGAGGUAGAGCACUGGAUAGGCGAUGGGCCCUACCGGGUUACUGACCUUAGCCAAACUCCGAAUGCCGGUAAGUGAGAGCGCGGCAGUGAGACUGUGGGGGAUAAGCUCCAUGGUCGAGAGGGAAACAGCCCAGAGCAUCGACUAAGGCCCCUAAGCGUACGCUAAGUGGGAAAGGAUGUGGAGUCGCACAGACAACCAGGAGGUUGGCUUAGAAGCAGCCACCCUUGAAAGAGUGCGUAAUAGCUCACUGGUCUAGUGAUUCCGCGCCGACAAUGUAGCGGGGCUCAAGCGUACCGCCGAAGUCGUGUCAUUCACAUAUAUAGCCCCAACGGGUGUGUGGAUGGGUAGGGGAGCGUCGUGUGCCGGGUGAAGCAGCGCCGGAAGGCAGUUGUGGACGGUUCACGAGUGAGAAUGCAGGCAUGAGUAGCGAUACAAACGUGAGAAACGUUUGCGCCGAUUGACUAAGGGUUCCUGGGUCAAGCUGAUCUGCCCAGGGUAAGUCGGGACCUAAGGCGAGGCCGACAGGCGUAGUCGAUGGAUAACCGGUUGAUAUUCCGGUACCCGCUGUGAAGCGUCAAACAUCGAGCAUCGUGAUGCUAAGGCCGUGAAGCCGUUCCGGACCCUUCGGGGAAAGGAAAGUGGUGGAGCCGCCGGACCAAGCGGUUAGUAGGUGAGUGAUGGGGUGACGCAGGAAGGUAGUCCAUCCCGGGCGGUGGUUGUCCCGGGGUAAGGGUGUAGGCCGUGCGAUAGGUAAAUCCGUCGUACAUGAGGCUGAGACCUGAUGCCGAGCCGAUUGUGGUGAAGUGGAUGAUCCUAUGCUGUCGAGAAAAGCCUCUAGCGAGUUUCAUGGCGGCCCGUACCCUAAACCGACUCAGGUGGUCAGGUAGAGAAUACCGAGGCGUUCGGGUGAACUAUGGUUAAGGAACUCGGCAAAAUGCCCCCGUAACUUCGGGAGAAGGGGGGCCACGCCUGGUGAUCACUCUUGCAGUGUGAGCUGGGGGUGGCCGCAGAGACCAGCGAGAAGCGACUGUUUACUAAAAACACAGGUCCGUGCGAAGCCGUAAGGCGAUGUAUACGGACUGACGCCUGCCCGGUGCUGGAACGUUAAGGGGACCGGUUAGUCACUCUUCGGGGUGGCGAAGCUGAGAACUUAAGCGCCAGUAAACGGCGGUGGUAACUAUAACCAUCCUAAGGUAGCGAAAUUCCUUGUCGGGUAAGUUCCGACCUGCACGAAUGGCGUAACGACUUCUCGACUGUCUCAACCAUAGGCCCGGUGAAAUUGCACUACGAGUAAAGAUGCUCGUUUCGCGCAGCAGGACGGAAAGACCCCGGGACCUUUACUACAGUUUGAUAUUGGUGUUCGGUUCGGCUUGUGUAGGAUAGCUGGGAGACUUUGAAGCUCGCACGCCAGUGUGGGUGGAGUCGUCGUUGAAAUACCAGUCUGGUCGUGCUGGAUGUCUAACCUGGGUCCGUGAUCCGGAUCAGGGACAGUGUCUGAUGGGUAGUUUAACUGGGGCGGUUGCCUCCUAAAGAGUAACGGAGGCGCCCAAAGGUUCCCUCAGCCUGGUUGGCAAUCAGGUGUUGAGUGUAAGUGCACAAGGGAGCUUGACUGUGAGACCGACGGGUCGAGCAGGGACGAAAGUCGGGACUAGUGAUCCGGCGGUGGCUUGUGGAAGCGCCGUCGCUCAACGGAUAAAAGGUACCCCGGGGAUAACAGGCUGAUCUUCCCCAAGAGUCCAUAUCGACGGGAUGGUUUGGCACCUCGAUGUCGGCUCGUCGCAUCCUGGGGCUGGAGUCGGUCCCAAGGGUUGGGCUGUUCGCCCAUUAAAGCGGUACGCGAGCUGGGUUUAGAACGUCGUGAGACAGUUCGGUCCCUAUCCGCUGUGCGCGUAGGAGUCUUGAGAAGGGCUGUCCCUAGUACGAGAGGACCGGGACGGACGAACCUCUGGUGUGCCAGUUGUUCUGCCAAGGGCAUGGCUGGUUGGCUACGUUCGGGAGGGAUAACCGCUGAAAGCAUCUAAGCGGGAAGCCUGCUUCGAGAUGAGGACUCCCACCCACUUGAUGGGGUAAGGCUCCCAGUAGACGACUGGGUUGAUAGGCCGGAUCUGGAAGCACCGUGAGGUGUGGAGGUGACCGGUACUAAUAGGCCGAGGGCUUGUCCUC